rnacentral:rRNA from 1 species
AGGGAUAGAGUCGGUUCGGCCGGAUUUCACACAGGUGUUGCAUGGCUGUCGUCAGCUCGUGUCGUGAGAUGUUGGGUUAAGUCCCGCAACGAGCGCAACCCUCAUCCUUAGUUACCAUCAGGUAAUGCUGGGGACUUUAAGGAAACUGCCAGUGAUAAACUGGAGGAAGGUGGGGAUGAUGUCAAGUCAUCAUGGCCCUUAUGGAGUGGGCUACACACGUGCUACAAUGGUGGCUACAAUGGGCUGCAAAGUCGCGAGGCUAAGCUAAUCCCUUAAAAGCCAUCUCAGUUCGGAUUGUACUCUGCAACUCGAGUACAUGAAGUUGGAAUCGCUAGUAAUCGUGGAUCAGCAUGCCACGGUGAAUACGUUCUCGGGUCUUGUACACACUGCCCGUCACGCCAUGGGAAUUGGU